UUCUUCCAAUGGACAUUGACAGGUAAAAUAGCAAAAAGAAUCCCACUAGUAUAAGGGGCACUUUUUCAGCGGUCUGAUAUUGGAAUUGUGCUUGCUUUCAUGGGCUGCUACAGCUCGAAGCACUCUAGAAAAACGCCUGGAUAUGAAGAGCCUACAGUUCUUGCUGCUGAAACACCAUUCACUGUGAGUGAAGUUGAGGCUUUAUAUGAGCUAUUCAAGAAACUAAGUGGUUCAAUAACCAACGAUGGGCUUAUCCACAAGGAAGAAUUGCAGCUUGCUCUCUUUAGAAACAGUAGCAAACGGAACCUAUUUGCAGACAGGAUAUUUGAUUUGUUUGAUCUCAAGCGCAAUGGCGUUAUUGAAUUUGGAGAAUUUGUUCGGUCGUUAGGUGUCUUCCACCCAAAUGCUCCGGAGGCAGACAAAAUUGCUUUUGCAUUUAGAUUGUACGAUCUAAGGCACACUGGCUACAUUGAGCGUGAGGAGCUUAAGGAGAUGGUAUUAGCUCUUUUACAUGAGUCUGAUCUGAUUCUUUCAGAUGAUUUUGUUGAAACAAUUGUCGAUAAGACAUUCAGCGACGCUGAUUCAAAAGGUGAUGGGAGGAUCGAUCAAGAAGAGUGGAAAGAAUUUGUUGCACGGAAUCCUGCUUUAUUAAAGAAUAUGACUCUACCAUACUUAAAAGAUAUACACUAGCAUUUCCUAGCUUCAUAAUGAACUCUGAAGCGAAAGAUUCAGAAAGUGCAGCCUAAACAUGCAAGAUGGCUCUAAACGCUUUGCAUCUCUAAUUUGGCUCCUGUGAACUUUCAGUGGAUGGAAAUAAGAGAUGGUUUGGAGGAAGAACCUUUAAGGUCAGCCCGCAAAGGAGAAUCAUCCAACCGUGUGUUUCACCAUCACCUCCACCUCCGAUUCAAUGCUAUCACCAGCUCUCUACCUAUCAGGUUCUACAAGAUGGUGUAGGAAUAAGUCAAAAGUCUUAAACUGGGUAGACAUGAUUUUGCUUGCCUGUUCAUAUCGGCAGUUGCUUUCUAGAAUCUCUCUGUUUUUUUU